AUGCAGUCGAGCGGACAGAUGGGAGCUUGCUCCCUGAAGUCAGCGGCGGACGGGUGAGUAACACGUGGGCAACCUGCCUGUAAGACUGGGAUAACUCCGGGAAACCGGGGCUAAUACCGGAUAAUUCUUUCCCUCACAUGAGGGAAAGCUGAAAGAUGGUUUCGGCUAUCACUUACAGAUGGGCCCGCGGCGCAUUAGCUAGUUGGUGAGGUAACGGCUCACCAAGGCAACGAUGCGUAGCCGACCUGAGAGGGUGAUCGGCCACACUGGGACUGAGACACGGCCCAGACUCCUACGGGAGGCAGCAGUAGGGAAUCUUCCGCAAUGGACGAAAGUCUGACGGAGCAACGCCGCGUGAGUGAUGAAGGUUUUCGGAUCGUAAAACUCUGUUGUUAGGGAAGAACAAGUACCGGAGUAACUGCCGGUACCUUGACGGUACCUAACCAGAAAGCCACGGCUAACUACGUGCCAGCAGCCGCGGUAAUACGUAGGUGGCAAGCGUUGUCCGGAAUUAUUGGGCGUAAAGCGCGCGCAGGCGGUUCCUUAAGUCUGAUGUGAAAGCCCCCGGCUCAACCGGGGAGGGUCAUUGGAAACUGGGGAACUUGAGUGCAGAAGAGAAGAGUGGAAUUCCACGUGUAGCGGUGAAAUGCGUAGAGAUGUGGAGGAACACCAGUGGCGAAGGCGACUCUUUGGUCUGUAACUGACGCUGAGGCGCGAAAGCGUGGGGAGCAAACAGGAUUAGAUACCCUGGUAGUCCACGCCGUAAACGAUGAGUGCUAAGUGUUAGAGGGUUUCCGCCCUUUAGUGCUGCAGCAAACGCAUUAAGCACUCCGCCUGGGGAGUACGGGCCGC
rnacentral:rRNA from 1 species